GGAAGCUGAAAUUCCGGACUUUUGAAAAAUUUUAAAAAUUACUUCCGGAUGAAGAUUUCGAGACCUAACUGGAGGACGUGUCCGGGAAAAUACGGACGUAUGGCUACCCUAAAUUCCUAGACGGUCCGACCAUCCGUCCUUCACAACGCUCUUCAAAGGAUCACAGAAGGGAACUGCUCAACCCACCUGGCUGCUCUAGGGAAGACACCUCUUCUCCCAAAGGUACCCCAGAAGCCCUUAUCUCAAGAUGUGAGAAGCACCCCAUCACCUGAGCGUCUCAUUAUCACCAUGACCCGUAACAAAACAGGAUGAUGAAUGGUUAGAGGCAACAUAUGUAAGGCCCAAGAAGCAAGACUCCAAGCUCAUAAAGUUUAACCUAGUGCCCAAAAGAAAUUGUUUGACUCAUGAAAGGAAUGAGGCAGAAAGGUCAUAUGAAAUGGAUUUGAGUGACAAUGUAAUCUAAAGUCUGAGAUGAGACAAGCCAACACUGCUGCCAGUUUUAUAAAUCUUGGCAACACAACAUAACUAUACUUUGCUGUGGUGUGUUAGACCAGGUCUAUCAAACUUUUGCAGCUGUAUUCAAGAGUACUACAGGCUGUGAGGGCCAUUAUUCUGUGUGAUCCAAAUGAAAGCUAAGACUUGAUCAUCAUUAUACAGUACUGUAUAUAUUGCAUCCAGCUCUAAGAGUUAAACCACAGCUGUUUCACCAAGUGGAUGUUAGUGCAGACUUCUGCCAGGUUAAUUGAUGAGAAGCAUCUUCAUAUUUGCUGGUGCUGACUUCAUCCAGGAGGAUUUCCAUACAAGUUUUUAACUCGUCAGUGAGAGGGAGGACCAAUCUAACUCAUCUAAGAAGAUGCCUUGUUUGAGAGCAGCAACAGCCUCCAACUCGUCUCCAAAGACAUCUCAAUUGUUCAACAGAGUUUAUUACAGCCGAAUCUUUUAUAUAUAUGUACAUAUAAAUACAUGUAAAUAUUAGUUCUCUGAUUUGUUAAUAAAGGAAUCAAAUUAU